CACUCCUGCGGGAGGCAGCAGUGGGGAAUAUUGGACAAUGGGCGCAAGCCUGAUCCAGCCAUGCCGCGUGAGUGAUGAAGGCCCUAGGGUUGUAAAGCUCUUUCACCGGAGAAGAUAAUGACGGUAUCCGGAGAAGAAGCCCCGGCUAACUUCGUGCCAGCAGCCGCGGUAAUACGAAGGGGGCUAGCGUUGUUCGGAAUUACUGGGCGUAAAGCGCACGUAGGCGGAUCGAUCAGUCAGGGGUGAAAUCCCAGGGCUCAACCCUGGAACUGCCUUUGAUACUGUCGAUCUGGAGUAUGGAAGAGGUGAGUGGAAUUCCGAGUGUAGAGGUGAAAUUCGUAGAUAUUCGGAGGAACACCAGUGGCGAAGGCGGCUCACUGGUCCAUUACUGACGCUGAGGUGCGAAAGCGUGGGGAGCAAACAGGAUUAGAUACCCUUGUAGUCCCAUGA
rnacentral:rRNA from 1 species